rnacentral:rRNA from 1 species
UACAGAGGGUGCAAGCGUUAAUCGGAAUUACUGGGCGUAAAGCGCGCGUAGGUGGUUCGUUAAGUUGGAUGUGAAAUCCCCGGGCUCAACCUGGGAACUGCAUUCAAAACUGUCGAGCUAGAGUAUGGUAGAGGGUGGUGGAAUUUCCUGUGUAGCGGUGAAAUGCGUAGAGAUCAGGAAGAACACCCGUGGCGAAGGCGGCCCACUGGGCCGGUACUGACGCUGAGGCACGAAGGCGUGGGGAGCGAACGGG